ensembl:misc_RNA Metazoa_SRP Metazoan signal recognition particle RNA
GCUGGGCACGGUGGUGCGUGCCUGUAAUCCCAGCUGCUCAGGAGGCGGAGGCAGGAGAAUUGCCUGAACCCAGGAGGCUGAGGUUGCGAUGAGCCGAGAUCGUGCCGUUGCACUCCAGCCUGGGUAACAAGAGCGAGACUCUGCCUCAA